rfam:Pristionchus pacificus strain PS312 contig11258, whole genome shotgun sequence.
UCUUCAUUUUACGUGCACUCUCACCGGUCAGAGAGGCGAGAGAGUACGUGAAAUGAGGAGA